rnacentral:rRNA from 1 species
UGUAAAAUUUCAAUAGUCGAACAGACUAAAUUUAUAAACACCUACAUUUAUAAUUCAUUUUAAUUCAACAUCGAGGUCGCAAACAAUUUUUUCAAUUUGAUCUUUCCAAAAAUAUUACGCUGUUAUCCCUAAGGUAAUUUAUUCUAAUUAUUAUAAUAAAUAUAUUUCAAUUUAAAUUCUAUUAAUCAAUAUUUUUAAAAUUUUAAAGUUAAUUAAAUUUAAAAAUCCUCCCAACCAAAUAUAUUAUUAAUUUAAAAAAAUUUAUAAUAUAUAAAAUUCUAUAGGGUCUUAUCGUCCCUUAAAUUAAAUUAAGCAUUUUAACUUAAAAUUUAAAUUUAUUUUAUAUUAUUGAGACAGUUUAUAUUUCAUUAAUUCAUUCAUUCCAGCCUUCAAUUAAAAGACAAAUGAUUAUGCUACCUUUGUACAGUCAAUAUACUGCAGCUAUUUAAUUCCUCAUUGAGCAGAACUGACUUUAUAUUAAAAUCAAAAAGAC